AGCUCUGGGGUGUAACAUGUAAGAUUGCAAAUCUUGAGAUGCAGAUUAACGUCUGCCGGGGCUU
rnacentral:tRNA from 1 species